rnacentral:lncRNA from 1 species
UGAUAUUUUUUCGAACCUCUCCGGUGGCCGAGCCUCCGCAACAUUCCCGAGCUCUGCCGACAUAUGAACCUCCACCAGUCUGGGUCGGACUCACCACGACGGGCGGACUCCACCCAAGUUCGGUGGUGAUUGACCACCUACUAGACUUCGUCCGGACUCCUACGGGAGCCGGACUUCGCCCUCGACUUCAAGUGCAGCC